rnacentral:rRNA from 1 species
AUUGAACGCUGGCGGCAUGCUUUACACAUGCAAGUCGAACGGUAACAGGUUAAGCUGACGAGUGGCGAACGGGUGAGUAAUGCAUCGGAACGUGCCCGAUCGUGGGGGAUAACGCAGCGAAAGCUGCGCUAAUACCGCAUACGAUCUGAGGAUGAAAGCGGGGGACCGUAAGGCCUCGCGCGAUCGGAGCGGCCGAUGUCAGAUUAGGUAGUUGGUGGGGUAAAGGCUCACCAAGCCAACGAUCUGUAGCUGGUCUGAGAGGACGACCAGCCACACUGGGCCUGAGACACGGCCCAGACUCCUACGGGAGGCAGCAGUGGGGAAUUUUGGACAAUGGGCGAAAGCCUGAUCCAGCAAUGCCGCGUGCAGGAAGAAGGCCUUCGGGUUGUAAACUGCUUUUGUACGGAGCGAAAAGGUUCUCUCUAAUACAGAGGGCUCAUGACGGUACCGUAAGAAUAAGCACCGGCUAACUACGUGCCAGCAGCAGCCGCCG